CCCAAUGCAAUGCUUAUCGGUAAAGCCUCAUUAUCAGGCAGGCAUGGGGCAUCCUACUCAUGUGAAAGCCACCAUAUAGUAAGAAUGAGGUUAGGGAUUAAAUUUGUCCCAAAAUCAAACUCUCUCUUCACUCAGUACUCACUUCCCACAAUUCCUUCCUCCCUUCCUCACUUCCCUCGAUCCCUUGCUUCAAUUUCCAACAAUUGCACUUUCUCAGGGAAAAAGACGUCAUCUUUGUUUUUGCAAAGGGUUAGUUAUAAGACUGAGACUCAGUUAAGUGAUUUAAUGGAGUCAGGGAAGGAAAUUCAAGAGCUUAACAGGAACCUUUAUCCAGCUGUAGAGCCAUAUAGCACUGGUUUUCUCAAGGUUUCUGAUAUUCAUACAAUCUACUGGGAGCAAUCAGGAAACCCAAAUGGCCAUCCAGUUGUGUUUCUUCAUGGGGGACCUGGAGGAGGAACAACACCAAGCAAUCGAACAUUCUUUGAUCCUGAAUUUUACAGGAUCAUUUUAUUUGAUCAGCGUGGUGCAGGAAAGAGUACGCCCCAUGCUUGCUUGGAAGAGAACACUACAUGGGAUCUAAUUGAUGACAUUGAAAAGCUAAGAGAACACUUGGAAAUUCCAGAAUGGCAGGUCUUUGGUGGCUCAUGGGGAAGUACACUUGCUCUUGCUUACAGUCAAUCACAUCCUGACAAGGUUACUGGCUUGGUUCUAAGAGGGAUAUUCCUUUUGCGGAAGAAAGAGAUUGAUUGGUUUUAUGAAGGUGGUGCUGCUGCUAUUUACCCUGAUGCUUGGGAGCCAUUUAGGGAUCUUAUUCCAGAAAAUGAGAGGGAGAGCUUUGUUAAUGCUUACCACAAGAGACUGAAUUCUGAUGAUUUGGAAACACAAUAUGCAGCUGCUAGGGCAUGGACCAAAUGGGAAAUGAUGACUGCCCAUCUUCUACCAAAUGAAGACAACAUCAAGAGAGGGGACGAUGAUAAUUUUUCACUGGCUUUUGCAAGGAUUGAGAACCAUUACUUUGUGAAUAAAGGAUUCUUUCCUUCAGAUUCAUUCUUGUUGGACAAUAUUGACAAGAUAAGGCAUAUUAAUACUACAGUUGUACAGGGAAGAUAUGAUGUUUGCUGCCCUAUGAUGUCAGCUUGGGAUCUCCACAAAGGAUUUCCAGAGGCAGAUUUUAAGGUAAGAACUAGAAUAAGCUAUUUGUCCUGUUGAAGAUGUGAUUUUACAUGUUGGGGAUGCCAGAUGGAAUCAUACCUUGCGCCAAAUUCUUCCUUGCAGCAGGUUGUUUCAGAUGCUGGGCAUUCAGCGAACGAACCAGGAAUAGCAGCUGAACUUGUGGCUGCAAAUGAGAAGCUGAAAAAACUUUUAAAGAAUUAACCUUGAAAACUAGAGUCAGCAUGCAGUUGCAGUGCCUGACUACAUUCCUAAAUUGCAGAGGCGUACACAUUGAUAUGCCCUGACAUCCAUCAUAAAGGGCAGUAGUUUGAGAUAUCAUUUGAAGAAUGUUUAACAGAAUGUCGGUUCACGUAUAAUGUUGAAUAGCUGUGCUUCAUCUGUGUAGGCUUUUCAUUUCUGUUGGCUUUGUUUCUUUAAACUGUGGUUUUUGUUCUUUACUAUUUCUUUUUAUAAAAGAAAUGAAGGACAGAAGAGAGCAAUAAAACAACAAUAAGAAUGGCAUAUUUAUCAGAUUUUGGUAA